rnacentral:lncRNA from 1 species
CGUGAACAAUUCUGAUCCAAUAUUAUUUGGAUACGUGGCUAAGAUCUACUAGUCAGAAUCAAAUAGUCUGGACAUUCUGGACGCCGAAUUAUCUUAUCAAAAUGACAGCCUAAUAAUGAUUUCACAGCUUUUGAAACAGCAAAACAGUCGGAGAUCUCUCGUAUUUCAAAAGCUCAUAAAGGCCAGCGCUAAAUCGAGGCUCGAGGCAUCAUAUGACGACUCUUUUCGUCCAAUGUGAUAGACCACGUGAUAAUAUACACAUCGGACC